rnacentral:lncRNA from 1 species
CAUAACAUGUCGUUAUAACGACAUCGCUAUGUCGUAAUUUCGACAUAACAUGUCGUUAUAACGACAUCGCUAUGUCGUAAUUUCGACAUAUCAUGUCGUAAUAACGACAUCACUAUGUCGUUAUAACGACAAAGCUAUGUCGUAAUAACGACAUCGCUAUAUAUUAUAUAAAAGAAUAUGUAUUAUGAUUGCCAAGAGACUAAAUGACACAGAAAUUAACAACUAUAGGUCAUCAUAAUGCCCCCAAUAAUUAGAAAAGCCCCACAUAGUCAGCUAUAAAAGAGGGAGGAAAGAUACCAGAGGGAGAGCCCCCG